rnacentral:rRNA from 1 species
GACGAACGCUGGCGGCGUGCUUAACACAUGCAAGUCGAACGGAAAGGCCCUGCUUUUGUGGGGUGCUCGAGUGGCGAACGGGUGAGUAACACGUGAGUAACCUGCCCUUGACUUUGGGAUAACUUCAGGAAACUGGGGCUAAUACCGGAUAGGAGCUCCUGCUGCAUGGGGGGGGUUGGAAAGUUUCGGCGGUUGGGGAUGGACUCGCGGGUUAUCAGCUUGUUGGUGGGGUAGUGGCUUACCAAGGCUUUGACGGGUAGCCGGCCUGAGAGGGUGACCGGCCACAUUGGGACUGAGAUACGGCCCAGACUCCUACGGGAGGCAGCAGUGGGGAAUAUUGCACAAUGGGCGGAAGCCUGAUGCAGCAACGCCGCGUGCGGGAUGACGGCCUUCGGGUUGUAAACCGCUUUCGCCUGUGACGAAGCGUGAGUGACGGUAAUGGGUAAAGAAGCACCGGCUAACUACGUG